CUUUUUUAAGCAUGUGUUAGAAUUGAACGCUUGGUAGUGUGGGUAGGAAAAUUUGUGUUCAGCUUUGCCACCGGAUUAUCCAUUUAAACCUUUUUAAAACUCUAAAAGAAGAAUAUCAGUCGAUUUAUUAGAUCAUCACGAUUCAAUUCAUGCAAAAUACCUGCUGGAAAAACCAUCGGCUUAGCUAAACGGUGCUUUUGAAAAAGUGGCUGUGGUUUUUUCAUUGCGCAGUUGUGGUGCGUACCCCAGCUCGGUGUGGUAGUGUGAUAAAAAAUCACAGCCACUUUUCAAAAGCACCAUCAAGCUAAGCCGAUUGUUUUUCCAGCAGAGUUUUGAAAAGGUUUAAAUGGAUAAUCUGGUGGCAAAGCUGAACACAAUUUUUCUUACGCAUACUACCAAGCCUUGAGGUAACUUGAGCCUUAACUUCUUUGCGUCUUCAAAAACACUUCCGGCAACCUUGAACGUGAGGCAAAACAAUCGCGAAAGGAUCGUUUGCGCACAGCAUUAUCUGGCUCGUGGUGUUGGUCGGCUGAGCUUGCGAUUUUACUUUUGCUGUUGAUCAGUGAUCGAAUUGGUUGAAGGGAGCGUGUAUUCGCGGUCCAGCGCAGUGCGAGCUGCAGAAGGUGGUGAGACGUGAGAGGCAGCCUAUAACGCUGCUAUCUCGAAUAGAUGCGGGCGAAGUGAACUUGUUUCCGCAGCCGUUUUGCGAGCUCAGUGCAUAACAGACAUAGUCGCUAAGGUGUGUGGGUUUUUCUGUUCACUUUCAAGCGACUAAACACAUACUCGCUACCAUUUAUGCCGUAAGAAGAAUUUUAUUAGUUUUGUUAUUAGAAUCAAGGUUGUUUCUCGGUUCGUAGUGCAGUCUGAAUUGGAACAGUGUGUUGUGCAGUUUAUCUUUUUUAGAGAAAAAUGGAUGGAAAGAGCUGCAUUAGUUUUGAAUGUCAGUGACGGACAUUUGUGUAUGUUUUUUUUAAACCAAGCUAUGAAGUAAAUAUUCGAAAAAAACCUGUAUUUUUACAAAAUGUUAUAUCAUUUGCAUAUUUCGGAACACAACCAUUGAAUGGAACUGAGUUCCACAAUCCACAAUUGUACCCAAAAUAUACAAUAAUGUUUCGAUUAUAUACUGGUCGGUCUGUAUUUUAGUGUGAUGUAUUCAAAGCAAAACAAAAAAUAACAUUCAAGCAUUAACCCAUGUAUUUCUAUAAACAAAAAGUAAUAAAAAGAUAAAGUUAAUCAAAAAGAA